rnacentral:rRNA from 1 species
AUUGAACGCUGGCGGCAGGCCUAACACAUGCAAGUCGAGCGGAGCGGCGGACGGGUGAGUAAUGCCUAGGAAUCUGCCUGGUAGUGGGGGUUAAGUCCCGAAACGGGGCCUUAUCACGCAUACUCAUCGAUCAGACCAGGUGGGAUUAGCUAGUUGGUGGGGUAAAGGCCUACCAAGGCGACGAUCCGUAACUGGUCUGAGAGGAUGAUCAGUCACACUGGAACUGAGACACGGUCCAGACUCCUACGGGAGGCAGCAGUGGGGAAUAUUGGACAAUGGGCGAAAGCCUGAUCCAGCCAUGCCGCGUGUGUGAAGAAGGUCUUCGGAUUGUAAAGCACUUUAAGUUGGGAGGCGUUACCAACAGAAUAAGCACCGGCUAACUUCGUGCCAGCCGCCGCGGUAAUUC